UGAGGCAGCCAUAACACUCUAAACAUGCCUGAUCUCAUCUGUUCUCAGAAGCUAAGCAUCGCAGGGUCUGGUUAGUACUUGGAUGGGAGAUAACUCUAAUUUUAUUGAUAAAAAAACAGUCAUGU
rnacentral:rRNA from 1 species